UUAUGAUCUAGAGAUCUAGCUAGCUUUCCUUCAUUGUUGCAUCUGCUAUGGUGGUUGAGGAAAAAGUCAAGAGCAAGAACAGUCAACAAAUGCAUGAAUAGAAAAGUAAAAGUUGUUUUAAUGUGGUUAGCAGCAAGUCAUGGGAAAUUGUCUAGAGUUUUUGGCGAGAGAGUUUCCUGUUGCUUGUCCAUGGCAUUUCAGAUUGGGAGAGUCUGAAGACCGGGCA
rnacentral:lncRNA from 1 species